AUGACAGGAUCCAACUCGAGUGUACAUGGACAUCAACAUGUGGAAGAUGAUCUCCCAAAAACUCGUGCGGCACUUGGUGAUAUGAUUGAGAAGAGUAUAGUUGCAGCUAUGCGAAGGAUGUUCGGUGGUCAUCUUCCUAUCACAGGUAAUGGGGAUCAACAUCAACAUAGCCCCGCUGCCUCACUGGCCGACGACAACCGGAAACGUCAAGGAAACGUCGUGGAAGAGCGGCAUGAGCUUCUACCCAUGGCGCCCCUGCUGUUGGUGCUGAACGGACGUGUGGCGACUUUGCUGCCCCCCGUGAGGGUGGGCUGCAUCGAGGAGAUGCUCGCAGGCGAGGCCAUGACCACCGCGGGUUUGCUGUUGAUCACCAGCGACGAGCGACACAUGAUGGUGAUUCCAUCUUCCUUGAAGAUCUGUCCGAGCAUGGUGAAUAAGAUGAAGGCAUGGGGGACUAUGAACCCUACUCCCCGCCUUGCCAUGGUGCUAUUUUUGGUUGCAAUGGUCUUCAUUAUGACCGUCGCGAUCAGGAUGACCGUGACAACCAAGCGAGAGUGA
rnacentral:rRNA from 1 species